rnacentral:lncRNA from 1 species
GGGGAAAGCAUAAUCUGAUUUUUAAAUGAAAAAUUACACACACACAUACACACAAGCCUGGAAAGCUAACAAUAUACAAUUAAAUGUUAAGUGUUUCUUCUGGAUGGUGAAGGGAUGGAUGGCUGAUGGGCUAGCGAUAUGUGGCGUGGUACCCUCUCUUGAUGCUGGGCAGUGGCGGUGAGCACAGCUCCCAGUUAGCCAUGCGAUCAUCAGGAUAUGUGUGACUCAGGACACCAUGUUGUCAGAUCUUCACCAUCCUAAGCACAAUGUAACAACCCAUAAUGGCUAAGUAGUGUCCCGGUAACAUGGAGGAAUGAAAAAGUUGUGUAAAUGGCAUCAAGAUUGUCUUAAGAUUAUCAAGCUAAUAGAAGCAAUAAACAUC